CCUGGCCUGCCUGCCCCACGGGAGAUGCCUGGGGCUGGCACAGCUGCCGUGGGCAGGCCCCCACGAGCCAUGUUAGCCCCGCUGGCAGGGCUGUCCUGAUCUUUACACAGGGCUCUCACCAGCCUGCAGGUUACAGCACCCAUAGCAGUCUCAGUUUGCCUGCCUGGAGAGCAAGGAAGCACCACUGACACAGGGCACCCAUUUUGUUUCGUGGUCAGGCGAGGAGAAGUUUCCCCUGUUAACGCCAGGGUAAUCUCGGGAAUUUCCCUCAGAAAUACAAAGAUCCAGCGAAGUUAGGACUAAUCCUGGACCCAAACUGAAAAGGCUGGACUGGAUCCUACAGGCCUUGUACAAAACAAAACAAAACAAAACAAAACAAAUCAGUCCUGCUGACAUAGGUUGGAUUUUUGCCUGAGGGAGACCUACUAGCUUUGACACUUGGAAGGAUGGAAGUGGGAGAAGAGGAGGCUGGAAGCAUUAUUCCUGUCAGGUUCCUGUCUUCUCCUUCAUAGAGAGAUAAACUGAUCUGAUACUCCAUCUACAGGAGCUUCUCUGGUUCUAAAGGUGGAGAGGAGAGGAAGAGAUUUUCUGGCAUCAGGCUGAUGUGAUGAGGUGGAGGGAAGCCCUGUGAAGAUAGAAGGUGUGCAGGUGCAGUGCCCUACUUGACACUGAGAUCUCUGGACAUCAGUGCUUGCCAGAAUGACUGGGGAUUCACAACAGACUUUCGGAGUUGUCAGAAAUAGAACCAAAUGUUGCUGGAAACUGCCCUGCUGUCAGACACAUGCCAUGCUCUGGGGUAGCAGCUAUACUGCUGAUUAUACAGAACAGUAAUCAGCAGCAUAUAAAUGGGCUAAAUGUUCCCAUUUUCCCAUGAUGGGUUUAAAUCCACUACAAGAGCAUGGCAGUAAGCUAUAGUUGGAAUGGCAUGCUCCCUCUGCUGAGGAAACUAGCUGGGUUCCUACCUGCUUGAUCACUGCUGGAUCAUUUGACUGGAGCCAUCCAUCUUCAGGUGAAGAGGAAACUGAAGCAUUGAAUGAAUUUGUGGUAGUUUUCAAAAUGCUAGCUUUUGGCAACUAGAAGCUCUCCUGAGUCUAAAAGCAGCAUCUGGAACAGACCAAAGGGUUUUGAUUCGGUACGUGGUGAAUCUGUAAAAGGGCAUUUGGACAUCUUGUCCCUGAUGGCCACUCUUUUUCCCUAGUUUUAGGUUGCCUCCUUAAAGUUGGUUCAGCAACACCAACACACAAUAAUGCUGAUGUAGUUUUUUUCAUUUUGAGGUGUUAAUUUUCUUAGAAUACUUUGGAUAUUUUUU